AGUAACGCUGGCGGCGUGCUUAAUCACAUGCAGUCGAGCGAACUGAUUAGAAGCUUGCUUCUAUGACGUUAGCGGCGGACGGGUGAGUAACACGUGGGCAACCUGCCUGUAAGACUGGGAUAACUCCGGGAAACCGGAGCUAAUACCGGAUAACAUUUUCUCUUGCAUAAGAGAAAAUUGAAAGAUGGUUUCGGCUAUCACUUACAGAUGGGCCCGCGGUGCAUUAGCUAGUUGGUGAGGUAACGGCUCACCAAGGCAACGAUGCAUAGCCGACCUGAGAGGGUGAUCGGCCACACUGGGACUGAGACACGGCCCAGACUCCUACGGGAGGCAGCAGUAGGGAAUCUUCCGCAAUGGACGAAAGUCUGACGGAGCAACGCCGCGUGAGUGAUGAAGGCUUUCGGGUCGUAAAACUCUGUUGUUAGGGAAGAACAAGUACAAGAGUAACUGCUUGUACCUUGACGGUACCUAACCAGAAAGCCACGGCUAACUACGUGCCAGCAGCCGCGGUAAUACGUAGGUGGCAAGCGUUAUCCGGAAUUAUUGGGCGUAAAGCGCGCGCAGGCGGUUUCUUAAGUCUGAUGUGAAAGCCCACGGCUCAACCGUGGAGGGUCAUUGGAAACUGGGGAACUUGAGUGCCAGAAGAAGAAAAAGCGGGAAUUCCACGUGGUAGCGGUGAAAAUUGCGUACAGAUGUUUGGAGGGAACACCCAGUGGGCCGAAGGGCGGGCUUUUUUGGGUCUUGGUAACUGGACGGCUGAAGGCGCGAAAAGGCGUUGGGGGAGCCAACAGGGAUUAGAUUCCCUGGUAGUCAACCGCGUAACCAUGAGUGCUCAUGUUAAGG
rnacentral:rRNA from 2 species